rnacentral:tRNA from 1 species
GGGGACAUGGCUCAGUGGUAGAGCACCUGUCUAAUGAACAGAAGUUUAAGAACAGUGCUCCUA